rnacentral:rRNA from 1 species
CCUACGGGUGACAGCAGUGGGGAAUAUUGCACAAUGGGGGAAACCCUGAUGCAGCGACGCCGCGUGAGUGAAGAAGUAUUUCGGUAUGUAAAGCUCUAUCAGCAGGGAAGAAAAUGACGGUACCUGACUAAGAAGCCCCGGCUAAAUAAGUGCCAGCAGCCGCGGUAAUACGUAGGGGGCAAGCGUUAACCGGGUUUACGGGGUGUAAAGGGAGCGUAGACGGUGGAACAAGUCAGAAGUGAAAACCCGGGGCUCAACCCUGGGAGUGCUUUUGAAACUGUUUGGCUGGAGUGCAGGAGAGGUAAGCGGAAUUCCUAGUGUAGCGGUGAAAUGCGUAGAUAUUAGGAGGAACACCAGUGGCGAAGGCGGCUUACUGGACUGUAACUGACGUGGAGGCUCGAAAGCGUGGGGAGCAAACAGGAUUAGAUACCCCAGUAGUC